UAUUCUGGAAAUGGUCAAACAUGUUCAGAUGUGAACGAGUGUUCUUCUAGUGUCUGUCACUCAAAUGCUGAUUGUACCAACACAGUUGGUUCCUACACGUGUCAGUGUCGAAGUGGUUAUUCUGGAAAUGGUCAAACAUGUUCAGAUGUUAACGAGUGCUCUCUGGGAACACAUUCAUGCUCUUUAAACGCCAAUUGUUCUAAC